UACAGAGGCCCCAAGCAUUAUCCGGAAUCACUGGGCGUAAAGGGUGUGUAGGCGGCGAUAUUAGUCUUCUGUAAAAGCACUGGGGCUCAACCCCGGUAAUGCGGGAGAAACGGUAUUGCUUGAGGUCGCGAGAGGUAGAGGGAACUCAUGGUGUAGGGGUGAAAUCCGUUGAUAUCAUGGGGAACACCAAAUGCGAAGGCACUCUACUGGCGCGCACCUGACGCUGAGACACGAAAGCGUGGGGAUCGAACGGG
rnacentral:rRNA from 1 species